GGAUGUGAGGGCUAUCUGGCUGUGACAUCUGUCACCCCGUUGAUCGCCAGGGUUGAUUCAGCUGAUCUGGGUGGUUAGGCGGGUGUCCUCUUCCUCCCUCAUUGCUCCAUGUGCGUCCCUCCCGAAGCUGCACCCUCAGUCGAAGAGGAUGACCAUCCCCAGUAGAGGAGGACCAGUCUUCGGUCAAGGGUAUAUGAGUAGCUGCACUCCCAUGCUAGAACCUCUGAACAAGCUCUCGAGGUCCAUUAGAUUUCAUGAAAACCAUAAGCCAGACCAUGAAUAGUGUGGCAUUUU
rnacentral:snRNA from 1 species